rnacentral:tRNA from 1 species
UGUGCUGUGACUUAGUUGGUUAAAGCACCGGACUAGCGACACGGAGCCGUGGGUUCGAAUCCCACCAAAACAU